UGGGGUGCAAACGUUGCUCGGAAUUAUUGGGCGUAAAGCGCGCGUAGGCGGUUACUCAAGUCGGAUGUGAAAGCCCUCGGCUUAACUGAGGAAGUGCACCCGAAACUGAGUAGCUAGAGUACUAAAGAGGGUCGCGGAAUUCCUGGUGUAGGGGUGAAAUCCGUAGAUAUCAGGAGGAACAUCAGUGGCGAAGGCGGCCAUCUGGCUCGCACCUGACGCUGAGACGCGAAAGCGUGGGGAGCAAACAGG
rnacentral:rRNA from 1 species